rnacentral:rRNA from 1 species
ACUCCUACGGGAGGCAGCAGUGGGGAAUUUUGGACAAUGGGGGCAACCCUGAUCCAGCAAUGCCGCGUGAGUGAAGAAGGCCUUCGGGUUGUAAAGCUCUUUUGUCAGGGAAGAAACGGUGAAGGCUAAUAUCCUUUGCUAAUGACGGUACCUGAAGAAUAAGCACCGGCUAACUACGUGCCAGCAGCCGCGGUAAUACGUAGGGUGCAAGCGUUAAUCGGAAUUACUGGGCGUAAAGCGUGCGCAGGCGGUUAUGUAAGACAGAUGUGAAAUGCCCGGGCUCAACCUGGGAACUGCAUUUGUGACUGCAUGGCUAGAGUGUGUCAGAGGGGGGUAGAAUUCCACGUGUAGCAGUGAAAUGCGUAGAUAUGUGGAGGAAUACCGAUGGCGAAGGCAGCCCCCUGGGAUAACACUGACGCUCAUGCACGAAAGCGUGGGGAGCAAACAGGAUUAGAUACCCUGGUAGUCCACGCCCUAAACGAUGUCUACUAGUUGUCGGGUCUUAAUUGACUUGGUAACGCAGCUAACGCGUGAAGUAGACCGCCUGGGGAGUACGGUCGCAAGAUUAAAACUCAAAGGAAUUGACGG